AAGGGGCGUGUCUACGCUGAACGGAAGAUGGAAGGUGUCUCAGUUACGGCUGCGUGGGCGCUCCGAAGCAGCUUCCGUUGUGGAGGGGACGAGUGUCCGCUCGGAAGAUCGAUCACCUGUGGUGAGAGCUGGGGCGCUGACAGGGUCGCCAGCACCGCACUCCUUCCUUCUCCGCAGUUUUGCACCCGGUCUCUGCGUCCCUGUUUCCCAGGUUAAGAGCACUUACACUUCUUUCCAGUGUAGGCGACUCUUUCAAGUGUGCCUCAGUCUGUCAUGUUUCCUGCCCCGGAAGCUCGAUGCCGACCUCCGCACGCCCCUCCAUGAGCGUCUGGACAUUCUGACAACUUCCACCACCAACCGCCCAGACCUGACUGACAUUCCCUUGCAACACCCAGAUGAGACCUUCUUCACCAAUGGUAACAGUUUUGUGGAAGACAAAAUCAG
rnacentral:lncRNA from 1 species